rnacentral:lncRNA from 11 species
AGAAAGUUAACUUUCAUAAAGUCACCUUACAGGAAGCGUUCAGUGGUGCUGAGAGAGGACGUACAAACUUUUCUCCUUGGCUGCUGUAAGGGCAAACAGGAAAAGUAUAACUAAAGCAAGAAUGGUGAAAAGAAAACAGAUGAAUAAGAAGAAAGAAGUGAGAAGCAUAUUGUAGCUGUUAGCUUCCUGUAUCAGGUAUCAAGUGAGUAUCAGAAGUUUAAUAUUUCUGGUUUUUAAAAUGUAAUCUUUUGUUUAAAUUUGAUUA